AAAAUAAUGAGAGCAUAAUAAAAUAAUAAAUAGGAUAGGUCAGAGUUAACCUCUUUACAAGGACAUGCUAAGUAAUGUAAACAAACAGGAAAGGGAAAGACUCAGAUGGACCUAUAUAAAGCAAAAGAUGAGAGGAAAUAGUUACAAAAGGGAGAGAGACAAAUCACAAGAUACACAUUUGGUUAAAAGAACUAUCAGUCGGCUUAAUGAUAAUAUUUACACGAUUACAAGGGAAGACAAGACUAAAAAAAUAGUCCUUUUAGACAGAAAUACUUACAACACAUUUCUAGAGAAAUAUAUUGAGCAGACACGCCCAAGACAAGUUAUGACAGAUCCCGCUAAAAACCAGCAGCUGUGGUAGAAAAAAUAAUCAAGCAUAAGCAAUUCCCAAUGAUAUGGAAACAAGAAAAAAUAAAAAGACUGACAUGUCCAAGACUAUUUGCAUACAUGAAGACCCAUAAGGUCCCCCUUGCUGCUAGGCCAAUAGUAGAAAAGAGGACUGCUCCAACAUAUAAUUUAGAGAAGAUAAUAACUAUAUGGUGCACAACAUUACUGGGAGAAACAAUUCAACAAUCAUAAUAAUAAAUGUCCUAAUGAAAAUACAAAACACUGAAGGGAAGGAGGGAGACAUCUAGUAACAUAUGACUAUGAAGCCUGUACUCUAGUUUGAAGCUAGAGCCGAUGUGCAUAGAGUUCUAUAGGUUUAUGAUGAAAAAUCUUCCUCAAUCCCAUAAGAUAAUCCUGUUACUAAAGAAUGUAGCCCUUAUCAUAUGCUACAGCUCCUACUUCCGGUUUAAGAAUAAGGCAAAGAGUAGUGGAUUAAAAUCGUCAGUACAUUGUUGAAUAAAGUUGUUAAAUACAGGGCUUGACAAAUUUCAAAAAGUUGAGUAGAC
rnacentral:lncRNA from 1 species